UUUCUAGCGCAGAGCCUGGAAAACAACAAGCAUUUGGAGAUGUGUUUGAGUUCCUGAAAUGAUUGGUCAUCCACUAGAUCAAACUUUAGCAGGUCACUCGCUAACAAGAAGUAGACGAAAGAAUCAGUGGUUUUUCAUCAAAACACAAAGAAGGAACAUUAUUAUAAGGUAAAAUUUCUAUAUAUAAUGACCGUAUAGUCAUGUCACUUUUGAAGGAAACAUUGUAAGUGCAUUGCAAUAUCUACCAAACAUUUUCUUGUUCUAUCUAUGGCAAUUCUUAGCACUAACGCUAAUGAGGACUUGGCUUUGGAUAUAGCAGCUAGCAAUUUUUUAGAAAACCAAAUUUGGUGAGGAGGGUAAAUUAUAUAGGAAAUAGAUUUUGGAUGAAAAUUUUAAAUUGUCAUAUAAUGAACAGUAGCAAUGACAUACCUACAUUUAACAGGCAGUCUAAUUCUAUCAGUAAAAGCUGGUUAUAGGUUUGGGGAACAGGUGAUUUCUAUUUGACUUCAAAUUUUAAAUGUAUUCAUUCAGCAAAUGAUUUUUAAGCAUCAGCAUUGAUCGUACUUCUGCAUUAUCCAUGGCAAUGUGGGAGAGGUAUACAAAUACACUCAGUGAGUGCAGGUCAUUUGACUCUCUGGAUAAAAAAUUAAAGCUCAUUUUACUUUUUAUAAAUGUAAAUGAACAGAAAAAAAGGCUGAAGCCUGAGCUAGAAAUAAAACCAUAGUGCUUUAGGUCCAUAUCAUGGGUCUCGCUGAAAUAGCACAUUUCAUUUUUAUUCUAAAGAAAGAUACAGUUAAUAAUCUGAUAUCCUUUUGAAAAUCAAUUCCCUAUACUUCAUAUCAGUGAUGAAAAAUAUUUACGAUGUAAAGGUAUAUGUUAAUUUUACACCAGUCCUAAUAAAAGCUAAGAAAAAGAUGCAGUAUCAGCCUUCUGGAUGUCCUUGGUCAGGUAGAAUUUAAGGUCUUGAGUCAUGGACGACUCAUCCUUUUUCCUUGCAUUUAAUUAUUUACUAAGUCCUGUCAGAGAGUGUCUUGUUUGUCCUUUCCUUUACCUCUCCUAUGCCAGGACCAGAGAUCAGACCCUAUCAUCCCUCAUCUGAUUUAUUACAGAGCCUCCUGACAGAUCUUUCUCAUGGCUUUUGCCUUUCUGGUAUAUUCUUUACAUGGUGUCAGAAUUUUGUACUUAAGAAAGGAAAAAGAAAGAAAAAAGUGGUAUUCCCACCUCCCCCCGUCCCCUGUCAAACAUCUAGUGUCACCUGUUACUUAACAGAACCACAUAAAACUGAGCUUGGCAUUUACCAGUGAGCCUGCAGCUCCUGCCAGGCCCCUCCAGGGCUGCAUUCUAUUACUUCCACUUCCCAGACAUGCCUCCUGCUUGCAUAGCUCUCUGCCUUGCUUGCUGGGCACAUGGUGGAAUGCCCUUUCCGCAGUAGCCCCAGUGGAGGUCAGCCCUGACCUUCAAGCCUAGCCCAGAAUGUAACUGUUUUCCCUGGUCCCCCCAUCGGAAGCCAGGGUCUCUGUUUUAGGCACUCCCAUACUAAGUGGGUUUUUACUUCUAUAAGGCAUUUAAAAAAUUUAGUUCUGUGUCCUAGUGUCUUUGUCCCUUUGUGUAUGUGUCUCUCUCCUUCUCCCUCCUUCCACCCCCUUUCUUCUUCCCUCCCUCCCCACACCACACCCUCUGUCUCUACUCUCCCUAGUCCUUUCUUUCUCUCUUUUUUUUUUUUUUUUUUUGCUAUGGGUACCCAGUAACUUUGGACCAACUUUGAAAUAUAGAAAAACAGUCAUACUGAUUCUUCCUUUUAGCAUGUUUUCUACUUUUCCUUGUCCCUAUAUACUUCAGUAUUUUCUUUAAUCUUCUAUCAGGUAUUGCCUCAAAACCUUUGUAGGAAGGGCUAUACUAACGCUUGAGUAAAUAUAAAUAAAUGCAUAGACCAUGUGUCUGUGGAAUCAGGAA